rnacentral:rRNA from 1 species
CGAACGCUGGCGGCGCGCCUAACACAUGCAAGUCGAACGAGAGAGAGGGAGCUUGCUUCCUUGAUCGAGUGGCGAACGGGUGAGUAACGCGUGAGGAACCUGCCUCAAAGAGGGGGACAACAGUUGGAAACGACUGCUAAUACCGCAUAAGCCCACGACCCGGCAUCGGGAAGAGGGAAAAGGAGCAAUCCGCUUUGAGAUGGCCUCGCGUCCGAUUAGCUAGUUGGUGAGGUAACGGCCCACCAAGGCGACGAUCGGUAGCCGGACUGAGAGGUUGAACGGCCACAUUGGGACUGAGACACGGCCCAGACUCCUACGGGAGGCAGCAGUGGGGAAUAUUGCACAAUGGGGGAAACCCUGAUGCAGCGACGCCGCGUGGAGGAAGAAGGUCUUCGGAUUGUAAACUCCUGUUGUUGAGGAAGAUAAUGACGGUACUCAACAAGGAAGUGACGGCUAACUACGUGCCAGCAGCCGCGGUAAAACGUAGGUCACAAGCGUUGUCCGGAAUUACUGGGUGUAAAGGGAGCGCAGGCGGGAAGACAAGUUGGAAGUGAAAUCCAUGGGCUCAACCCAUGAACUGCUUUCAAAACUGUUUUUCUUGAGUAGUGCAGAGGUAGGCGGAAUUCCCGGUGUAGCGGUGGAAUGCGUAGAUAUCGGGAGGAACACCAGUGGCGAAGGCGGCCUACUGGGCACCAACUGACGCUGAGGCUCGAAAGUGUGGGUAGCAAACAGGAUUUAGAUACCCUGGUAGUCCACACUGUAAACGAUGAUUAUUAGGUGUUGGAGGAUUGACCCCUUCAGUGCCGCAGUUAACACAAUAAGUAAUCCACCUGGGGAGUACGACCGCAAGGUUGAAACUCAAAGGAAUUGACGGGGGCCCGCACAAGCAGUGGAGUAUGUGGUUUAAUUCGACGCAACGCGAAGAACCUUACCAAGUCUUGACAUCCUGCGACGGUGCUGGAAACAGUACUUUCCUUCGGGACGCAGAGACAGGUGGUGCAUGGUUGUCGUCAGCUCGUGUCGUGAGAUGUUGGGUUAAGUCCCGCAACGAGCGCAACCCUUAUGGUCAGUUACUACGCAAGAGGACUCUGGCCAGACUGCCGUUGACAAAACGGAGGAAGGUGGGGAUGACGUCAAAUCAUCAUGCCCUUUAUGACUUGGGCUACACACGUACUACAAUGGCGUUAAACAAAGAGAAGCAAGACCGCGAGGUGGAGCAAAACUCAGAAACAACGUCCCAGUUCGGACUGCAGGCUGCAACUCGCCUGCACGAAGUCGGAAUUGCUAGUAAUCGCAGAUCAGCAUGCUGCGGUGAAUACGCUCCCGGGCCUUGUACACACCGCCCGUCAAGCCAUGGGAGCCGGGGGUACCUAAGGUACGUAACCGCAAGGAUCGUCCUAGGGUA